rnacentral:rRNA from 1 species
AUUCCAAUCGAACUCGGAGAUAGCUGGUUCUCCCCGAAAUAGCUUUAGGGCUAGCCUCAUAUUAGAUACCCGGAGGUAAAGCACUGAAUGGCCUAGCGCCCGAGAGGGUAGCGAAGCCUAUCAAACUAAGAAUGCCGGAGUAUUGAUGUAUGGGAGUCAGACAGUGUGAGAUAAAUCUCAUUGUCAAAAGGGAAACAGCCCAGAUCUACAGCUAAGGUCCCAAAUUGUAUCUAAGUGGAAAACGAUGUGGAAAUACGCAGACAACCAGGAUGUUGGCUCAGAAGCAGCCACUCAUUUAAAGAGUGCGUAAUAGCUCACUGGUCGAGCGUCUCUGCGCGGAAAAUUUAACGGGGCUAAGAUACAAACCGAAGCUUAGGCUGCAUCGUAAGAUGCGGGGUAGGGGAGCGUUGUGUAAGCGGAGAAACAGUAGCGUAAGCGGCUGUGGAGUUUACAGAAGUGAGAAUGCCGGAAUGAGUAGCGCGAAUGUGGUGAGAAUCCACAUGGCCGGAAACCUCAGGUUUUUGGAGGAAGGUUCGUCCGCUCCAAGUUAGGCGGGAGCUAAGGUCAGGCCGCAAGGCGUAGCCGAUGCACAGACGGUAGAGAUUCCGUCCCCACCGAAAGAUUUAAGCACAGGGACACUUUUAGAAGGUCGGAGCCAGGUGUUGGUUCUGGUAGUGAUCGAGGGAAAUAUAGUACCGAAGUCCGGCUGGAUGAGAGGCGAGAAAAGCUGUGUGUAUAUCUAAGGUGCCCGUACCGCAAACCGACACAGGUAGGUAGGAAGAAGAUUCUAAGGCCAACGGGAGAAGGGUUGUUAAGGAACUCGGCAAGUUGACCCCGUAACUUCGGAAUAAGGGGUGCUCACGAGAGUGAGCCGCAGAGAAUAGGCCCAGGCAACUGUUUACCAAAAACACAGGUUUGUGCUAAAUCGAAAGAUGACGUAUACGAGCUGACGCCUGCCCGGUGCUGGAAGGUUAAAAGGAGAUGUGCAAGCAUUGAAUUGAAGCCCCAGUGAACGGCGGCCGUAACUAUAACGGUCCUAAGGUAGCGAAAUUCCUUGUCAGGUAAGUUCUGACCCGCAUGAAAGGCGUAAUGAUUUGGGCACUGUCUCAACAGCCCGCCCGGCGAAAUUGUAGUACCGGUGAAGAUGCCGGUUACCCGCGACAAGACGGAAAGACCCCAUGGAGCUUUACUGUAGCCUGAUAUUGGGUUUCGGUGUUGCAUGCACAGGAUAGAUGGGACACUGGGAAGCGAGCGCUUUGGCGUUCGUGGAGUGGACGUUGGGAUACCAUCCUUGCGACAUUGGAAUUCUAACCUGCGCCUCUGAAUCGAGGCGGGGGACAUUGUCAGGUGGGCAGUUUGACUGGGGCGGUCGCCUCCUAAAAAGUAGCGGAGGCGUUCAAAGGUUCGUUCGAUCUGGACGGAAACCAGAUGAAUGAGUGCAAACGCAUAAACGAGCCUGACUGCGAGACUGACGGGUCGAGCAGAGACGAAAGUCGGAGUUAGUGAUCCGGUGGUAUGUGAGUGGAAAUGCCAUCGCUCAACGGAUAAAAGUUACCCUGGGGAUAACAGGCUGAUCUCCCCCAAGAGUCCACAUCGACGGGGAGGUUUGGCACCUCGAUGUCGGCUCAUCGCAUCCUGGGGCUGUAUUCGGUCCCAAGGGUUUGGCUGUUCGCCAAUUAAAGCGGUACGCGAGCUGGGUUCAGAACGUCGUGAGACAGUUCGGUCCCUAUCUGUCGUGGGCGCAGGAUAUUUGAAAGGCGCUGUCCCUAGUACGAGAGGACCGGGAUGGACGAACCUCUGGUGCACCAGUUGUCACGCCAGUGGCACAGCUGGGCAGCUAUGUUCGGAUCGGAUAAACGCUGAAAGCAUCUAAGCGUGAAGCCGGCCUUAAGAUAAGAUAUCCCACUGAGUCAAUCAGGUAAGACCCCUUGAAGACUACAAGGUUGAUAGGCACACAGUGUAAGCGGAGUGAUCCGUUCAGCUAGCGUGUACUAAUAGGUCGAGGGCUUGACCCC